GUUCCUUUCCUAGGCUCCUUUUGUGUGCUACCUUUUAUUCCAGCUGUAUCUCAUUUGAAUUCACCAUUUUUGCCUUCCAUACUAUGCUAGCAAUCUGGUUUUAGGCUAAUUAAAUUAUGGUGCAGCAGUUGACCAUUCUCUCACGGUUUGGUGUGUUUGGCAGUGGUGUGUGACUUCAUUUUAAGGUGAUCCAGGUUCCACAAGCUUCCUUCAAGAGGGUAGCAUCUUAGGAAGUGGAGAGUUUGUAGAAUUGGACACAAAGGUUAUUCUCCAAGCUGCAGCUGCCUUGCGAAACCAGCAACAUUUCUCCACCUUUUCUACCACAAAAUUCAAACACUUUGGGAGAUAGGAUAUAUUCAGCUUUUGUAGCCUACCAAUAUAUACAUAUUAUAGCUCAUUUUAUCACUUUUAUGGCCUUGUAUCAUGAAACCUUUGAAGUUUAAUUUGCUUUACAU
rnacentral:lncRNA from 1 species